GUCCGUCGGCGGAGAAGAUAAGCUUACCAAAGAAGAAGAAAUACAAUCGCAACGGCGGGCCAACAUGGAGGCAAUUUUUAGCGACGUUGUCAAAGUCAUAAUUAGAUGUCGACACUGUGAUGAAAGAAAAGCACGCAUCCGCGUCACCAUUGAGCGUCAGUCGAGCACAAGUGCCGUUUGCAAACGAGAUCUUCUGGUAAGAUUGACCAAUGACGAGGAUCCGCAUUUUUUCUUCAGCCUCACAAUCUCUGAGGAAGAUUUCCAAAGGUUUGCCUCAGAAGUAGCCACAAUUCCAUUUCCUGCAUCAAUGUGCUUUUUUUU